CCAUAGCUCAGUGGUAGAGCAUUGGCUUGGCAUGCAGAAGGUCCCAGGUCCAAAUUCCAGCAUCUCCUGGUAAGGA